CCCGUCACACCAUGGGAGUCGAUUGCUCCAGAAGUCAGUGCGCUAACCGCAAGGAGGCAGCUGCCCAAGGAGUGGUCGGUGACUGGGGUG
rnacentral:rRNA from 1 species